UUCCAGACCAAAGACAAAAGGGGGAAAUAUAUCAAUGUGCCUAUUGCCAACUUUGAUUAGAUGGAGUUCAUAUUUCAGGAUAAGCAUGCUACCGGAGAGUUCACGGUCCUUCAAACACCCUAUGACCGUGUUCAUGCCCGUGACAAGGAUUUUAUUGGUGAUACCGAGAAGAAUGUGAGUGAUGUUAAGGUUGAUCCUGCAACACAUGAUGAUUCAGAUUGUGUUCCUGACGACACCACUAAUGAAUGCUCGUCUUCGAAGCGUCCUAGAGGUGACAAACGUGAUAAAGGUAAGUGGGUGAAGUGUGAUGAGAGUGCAGCUCAAGACAUGACACGGUCUCUGCGUGAUAUGUCGGAUACUAUGCGUUACACACACACAUCUGCGGCCACCAAUGAACAAGUGGCUUCCAUGUUGAAGGGGAGACCGAUGGCUGCUAUUCAAGAGUUUGUGCGGUGCUGGAUCGGUGAUAACUUUCCUGAAUACGUUCCCGUUCCUCCUGCUGUGUGA
rnacentral:rRNA from 1 species